UAAGUACUGAAUUUGUCCGCACCCUAUCGCUGUAUAUCCACGGCCUGAUGGGAGGACAACAAACUCUUUAUGUAAUGAAUGAAUGAAUGUAAGCUUUAUUAACAACACGUUCUUUUUACAAAUGUCUGGAAGCAAUGUGUGUUGAACUCCAAUCAACUCGGAUGCAGUCUUAAUCAGCUUCGUCGUUCUGUUUCUACCAGACAAGCUGAUGCAAGCAAACACACUCAGAAAUCACAGAUUCAAUAAAACAGUGUCAUUAACACUGUGCAUACUUUAAAAAAAAAUUAGUUUUUCUUAAGAAAAACAAACGUUGUUACAGAUGGCCUCAGUAUUAGCAUCAAAAUGUAAUUUAUUAUCAAUCACAGACAUCUAUACUCAUCCACAAGUUCAAUGUGCCUCACAUUAUUGACAGAAGGAGAAACAGAAAUAGCAGACUUUCCGAGAUCUAUAAUCAUGUCUUUGGUUUUAGCUGUAAUAUGCAUUAUUGAGACACUAUUCUUCCCACUGAAUACUGUAAAGCUGCUCUGACACAAUCUGUAUUGUUAACAGCGCUAUAUAUAUAAAGCUGACUUGACUUGACAUGUAUGGCUGGAGAUGUAAUUACGGGAAAAGUGUGUAUAGUUUCAUAUGCAUAUUAUUGUUCCCCACUUGAGUUUGUAAAUUAUCAUUCAAUAAAAAAGUGUGUUCACUACCCCUCGUAUGUGUGCACUAACGUGGAUGGGGACGAAUGCGGAGUAUGGUUACCAUAUACUUGGCCUUCAUAUGUCACUUUCACUUUCACUUUCAUCACUUUUCAACGCAUUGUGUCCAUCUAGUGGUCAUCAGAUGAAUAGCCGUAUCAAACUGCUGUGUUCAGCUUCAGCCUGGUUCUGCAGCUCAUUCUUUAUUUGAUUUUAUUGCAUUGCAACACCUCCUUUUUUUAAGAUGUUACUCUGAGGGGGUUCAACAGAAAUUUGAUCGGUACAGAAUAAUAAAACCACUUCUCCAAACAAAUAUUCUCUUCUCAUAUUUUAUUCCCACAAGUGCUCAUUUAUAUAAUUACCACAAAAAAAAAAGAAAGAAAAUGCACAAACAAACAAUCUUGUCUCUGUGUAAAUGAGUCAAUAUAAUAAAUGAAACUUAUCAAUGUCCAGACUUUAGAUGAACUGAUGAUGGCGAUGAAAUGAGUAUAAAUCCACAAAGUUAUUUGAUAACGAUGCAAUGAUACAAUCCAAUAAUCCAAAGAGUGAGAAGUGAAGAUAGUCGAUGGUGUUCAGUGACUCGUUAACCUUAACGCCGAGCUGAUUCAAGCCACGCGCCGUAGCCUCCCUACCGCAUUGCAGUCUUUGUUUAUCUUUUUAUUCUAUAUAGACCUCUCUUCAUUAUCAUCUGUGGUUCAGGUGAUUUCACUUUUAUAUCCUGGGAUGGUAGAUGCACACUGAGCAUUUUAUUGCUUUAGCUGUUAUAUUAUUGUACAUGUUUUUAAGGUCUGUGUGUGGCUUGUCAUGGUUGUGUAAAUUGUAACCGAUUUUUGUAAUUUGAACAGUAUUUUACUGUAAACUGCAAAGGAUUAUGGGAAAAUAUAUGGUCACUACAGUAAACUACUGUAAAUGGUGAACUUGCCUGCGAAACCAAUGGCAAGGGAGAUUUAUUUUGUUUGCUGUUUAGUGGAUGCAGUAGUAAAAGAAUAAAAGAGACACGUUGCACUGUUAACUGGACAAAAAGGUUAGUAUAUUAUUUCUGUUUUAUGCAAAACUGAGAUAUUUUAAGAUGUUUUAACUUGUUAACAACAAACUAACUUUAUUCAUCGUGUCAUUUUUCAUGUCGGGAGUUGGGGCCUUUUUUUCUGACUGAUGGCCGGAUAACGCCGCCAUAACGGUGAUAACAUCGACUGUUUCUAGUCUAGAUUUCGUCGACAACGUCGGAGGUAUAUUUUGGAGCCUCUUCUUGUGAAUGCCAUAGUUUCGAUGAUAACAUCAACUGUUUGUGAUCUUGUGGUCAUGUCGCCUGCAUCGGAGGAGUAUUGGAGUCUUUUCCUGUGAUUGCCGUCGUAACA